rnacentral:lncRNA from 1 species
CACAGUCCAGGUAAGUUCUGCAGGCAGCUAGCUUAAAUCACAGUCCAGGUAAGUUCUGCAGGCAGCUAGCCUAAUCUGUAGCAGCAGAAACAGCAACAGCUCCGAAGUCUCGUCUGUUUCUCAGCCGAAGUUUCGUCCAGUUUUCAGCAACACUGGAAAUUCUUCCACCCUCAUUUUCACCGGGACUGGGACGAAGGCAGGAACUCCGGAUGGCUAAAGAAAAUCCUGUAGCAUUCCACUAAGAAAACAACCUUCUGAACAAUUUAGUACAUUAUCUCAAGGUUUUUUAC